GACGAACGCUGGCGGCGAGCCUAACACAUGCAAGUCGAACGAGCGAGAGAGAGCUUGCUUUCUCAAGUGAGUGGCGAACGGGUGAGUAACGCGUGAGGAACCUGCCUCAAAGAGGGGGACAACAGUUGGAAACGACUGCUAAUACCGCAUAAGCCCACAGCUCGGCAUCGAGCAGAGGGAAAAGGAGUAAUCCGCUUUGAGAUGGCCUCGCGUCCGAUUAGCUAGUUGGUGAGGUAACGGCCCACCAAGGCGACGAUCGGUAGCCGGACUGAGAGGUUGAACGGCCACAUUGGGACUGAGACACGGCCCAGACUCCUACGGGAGGCAGCAGUGGGGAAUAUUGCACAAUGGGGGAAACCCUGAUGCAGCGACGCCGCGUGGAGGAAGAAGGUCUUCGGAUUGUAAACUCCUGUUGUUGAGGAAGAUAAUGACGGUACUCAACAAGGAAGUGACGGCUAACUACGUGCCAGCAGCCGCCGUAAGAC
rnacentral:rRNA from 1 species